GUUUUGUAGCCAAGGAGAGAUGGUUGGCAUUUCCCUGGUAGGAACGGAAAGAGCCAUCAGUCUUUCUGGCAGAAGAAUCAUAUAUGAAGAACUUGAUCUUUGUUUAUGUAUUUUG
rnacentral:ncRNA from 1 species